rnacentral:misc_RNA from 1 species
GAUAGAAUUCGCAAGGAAGCUAGAAACAUGUAGACCCGAAUUCUCAAUAGAGGAUAUAUCCAAUAGAAACUUACAAUCAUCCUCUAUAUAUUUCUUGAUCUUAACAUAAUCCUCCUCAAGUUCAUUUCCAGAUGAUCCACCAACGACUCCAGACGGAUUUUGCGGGAUAACUUUUUGGAUCAAAGGUCCCACUAUAGUCGAUCGAAAAGUUUCCUCAGCAUUCUUGGUAUUAUCAAUAGCAGCAU